rnacentral:tRNA from 1 species
CAGGGAGACAACAAAAUGUUAAAUAUUAAUUUUGUCACCUUAGGUCGAUCGGUAUCUCACAUUCUUAAUUUUAUUGAGGAUUUCAUUUCCUAAGUUUUUUCUAGGUCACACCCAUCACUUUUCCUGGGCCAUUAGCUCAGGUGGUUAGAGCGCACCCCUGAUAAGGGUGAGGUCCCUGGUUCAAGUCCAGGAUGGCCCAUAUCUCUAUGUUGGGGGUAUAGCUCAGUUGGUAGAGCGCCUGCUUUGCAAGCAGGAUGUCAGCGGUUCGAGUCCGCUUACCUCCACUGAUCACCACCUCUUCCAUAAUUUUAUAGAAGGGAAUUGUUUUGAGUUGUGAUCCAAAUCUGAACGAAUCUAGCUUCCUAAUCAAACUUAUUAAGAUGCUGGACUCAUUGAAUCAAUUUCAUUGUUUUCAGAGAACCUUGACAACUGCAUAGAUUAUUUUUAAAGACAAUAAGCAUCUUUAAUGAUGCAGAUUUAUUAUUUGUGCGAAUGCAUUAAUAACAAUUCUAUUAAGCUGAUGCUUCAA